rnacentral:rRNA from 1 species
AGAACGAACGCUGGCGGCAGGCCUAACACAUGCAAGUCGAACGAUAAGCCACCUUCGGGUGGUGGACAGUGGCAGACGGGUGAGUAACGCGUGGGAACGUGCCUUUCGGUUCGGGAUAACCCAGGGAAACUUGGGCUAAAUACCGGAUACGCCCUUCGGGGGAAAGAUUCAUUGCCGAAAGAUCGGCCCGCGUCGGAUUAGCUUGUUGGUGGGGUGAUGGCCUACCAAGGCGACGACGGGUAGCC